AUCCAGCUGAAGAGUCUCAAAUAGGAUGAAACGCAUGUCCUCUAU
rnacentral:hammerhead_ribozyme from 1 species